CUUGUCACCGAGCUAGUUAUCUAUGUCACUUCACUUCCACAAAUCAGAAGGAUGAAGUUUGAAAUCUUCUACUAUACACAUCAUCUCUACACAAUCUCUCUAGUAUUCUUCUUGUUCCAUGGUGGGGAUAGGCACUUCUAUACAGUCUUCAGAGGACUAUUUCUUUUCAACCUCGACAAACUGCUCCGCAUCAUACAAUCGAGUCCAAGAACCUGCAUGGUUUCGGCUAGAACUUUCCCAUCCAAAGCUGUGGAAAUAGUUCUGCCUAAAGAUCCAUGGCUAAAGUAUAUGCCUACAAGUGUUAUAUUUAUGAAGAUACCAGCAAUAUCACAUCUUCAAUGGCAUUCUUUCAAUAUAAUAUCAAGUUCCAGGGCUAAAAACCAAACCAUGUCUGUAAUAAUCAAAUCUGAAGGGUGGUGGACUAAUUUUCUUUAUGAUCUGAUACAAGCUGAGAUUGACAAAGCUGCUUUCUUGGCUCUUGCAAUAUUUGAGGACCUUGAAGUUUCUUGCAAUAUUAUGUACUCUUUCAAUACUGCCGUGAUUCGUUGACCAUUACAUCAUUAUGUAAGUGUUGAAGCUUUGGCAGAACAAAUUCACUGGUUCAAUUCCUUCAAGGCUUGGACAGAAUGGCAAGUUAAAGAGUGUUUUGGAAAUCCUUCUUCUUCAUGGAAACAGAUUCUCAGGUGAAAUUCCACUAGAUAUAGGCAAGUUAAAAAGUGUUCUUAAGAUGGAUUUGAGUGUUAACAACUUUUCAGGUGCUAUUCCUCCUGAGAUUUGUGCGAACACAAAAUUCAUUGCAUUCAUGAUCACUUAUGGUCUUAGUGCUGCUGCAAGGGUUCAACCGUGGAAAUGACAGAUUUGGAUAGGGAUGAUGUGGGAUCAGAAGAUGCUAACUUUUUGUUCAGUGGUCAUAGAGCAAGAAUCACCUGUAUGAGGUGCUGUUCAAAUUAUAGUAAUUAAUAACUGAGGACAAAGUGGGUGGAGCCUUGAAGUUUAACACACACCCCCUAUGAGAUAGACUACCUCAAUCAGAUAUACAUUCAGCGGCGGCAUGUUUGAGAUGAAUGAAGUGAAGGAUGGCAGUCCGUACGGUGCCCGAACUUAUGCUGGUGGUGAUGGAUCAAGACAACCAACUAAACUUGAGUUGGAGCAAGCAUUCCACGAGGGCAAGUAUAUUGCCACCAUUACUAAGAAGCUCAAGAAAGAAUGAUGCUAUCCAUAAAUUAGGAUAUUGUAUCUUGAUGAGUCCACUAGUAGUUACUUGUCAUCUAAUGUAUUCAGCUUGUAUUAUUGCAUGGAAAUAAUUGCUUCUUAUUAUAAAGAA